rfam:Myotis davidii contig149058, whole genome shotgun sequence.
GGUAGUUCUCAGGUGACACACCCCAGAAUUGGGCUCCCUCCUCUCUGUGGCAUCACCCGAGAACCACA